AACGAACGCUGGCGGCAUGCCUAACACAUGCAAGUCGAACGAGACCUUCGGGUCUAGUGGCGCACGGGUGCGUAACGCGUGGGAACCUGCCCUUAGGUUCGCAAUAACUCCCCGAAAGGGGUGCUAAUACCGGUUAAUGUCUUCGGACCAAAGAUUUAUCGCCUUUGGAUGGGCCCGCGUUGGAUUAGCUAGUUGGUAGGGUAAAAGCCUACCAAGGCGACGAUCCAUAGCUGGUCUGAGAGGAUGAUCAGCCACACUGGGACUGAGACACGGCCCAGACUCGUACGGGAGGCAGCAGUGGGGAAUAUUGGACAAGGGGCGAAAGACUGAGAAAGCAAUGCGGGGUGAGAGAUGAAGGCCGUAGGGUUGUAAAGCUCUUUUACACGGGAUGAUAAUGACAGUACCGGGAGAAUAAGCACCGGCUAACUCCGUG
rnacentral:rRNA from 1 species